GGACAUUGCUUGUCUCUGUGGUGCAUUGUAGUUGCAUUGCAUGUACGAUACACUCUGCAGUGCUUCUGCAGUGCAAACACAGAGCCAAGACCAUUCACCAU